rnacentral:rRNA from 1 species
AUUGAACGCUGGCGGCGUGCCUUACACAUGCAAGUCGAACGGCAGCGGACCUUCGGGUGCCGGCGAGUGGCGAACGGGUGAGUAAUAUAUCGGAACGUACCUUUCAGUGGGGGAUAACGUAGCGAAAGUUACGCUAAUACCGCAUAUUCUGUGAGCAGGAAAGCAGGGGAUCGCAAGACCUUGCGCUGAUUGAGCGGCCGAUAUCAGAUUAGCUAGUUGGUGAGGUAAAGGCUCACCAAGGCGACGAUCUGUAGCGGGUCUGAGAGGAUGAUCCGCCACACUGGAACUGAGACACGGACCCGACUCCUACGGGAGGCAGCAGUAAGGAAUAUUGGUCAAUGGGCGAAAGCCUGAACCAGCCACUCCACGCGUGCAGGAAGAAGGCCCUACUGGGUUGGUAAACUAGCUUUUAUUCA